rnacentral:tRNA from 1 species
GAGGCUGUCGUCCAGCGGCAGGAUGGCUGAUUCUCAGUCAGCAGACGCGAGUUCAACUCUCGCCAGCCUUACCA